rnacentral:rRNA from 1 species
UUCAAGUCUUUAAGAGCAAACGGUGGAUGCCUUGGCAUCUGGAGCCGAAGAAGGACGUAGCAAUCUGCGAUAAGCCUCGGGGAACUGAUAAGCGAGUUUUGAUCCGAGGGUGUCCGAAUGGGGAAACCCCGCCAGGGCGCGUGCGUACCUGGUGACUCCCGCCUGAAUAUAUAGGGCGGGUAGAGGGAACGUGGGGAAGUGAAACAUCUCAGUACCCACAGGAAGAGAAAGCAAAAGCGAUUCCGUAAGUAGUGGCGAGCGAAACCGGAAGAGGCUAAACCUAGCGUGUGUGAUAGCCGGCAGGCGUUGCAUGUUGGGGGUUGUGGGACUUUUCUGAUUGUUCUGCCGAAUGAUCGACGUGACAAGAGGGUAUAGACGAACGGUUUUGAAUGGCCGGUCAUAGAGGGUGCGAACCCCGUAGUCGAAAUGCCUGUUCUUGGCGUGAAGAGUAUCCCAAGUAGCACGGGGCCCGAGAAAUCCCGUGUGAAUCUGUCAGGACCACCUGAUAAGCCUAAAUACUCCCAGAUGACCGAUAGCGGACAAGUACCGUGAGGGAAAGGUGAAAAGUACCCCGGGAGGGGAGUGAAAUAGUACCUGAAACCGUUUGCUUACAAACCGUUGGAGCCUCCUUAGUAGGGGUGACAGCGUGCCUUUUGAAGAAUGAGCCUGCGAGUUAGCGAUACGUGGCGAGGUUAACCCGAGUGGGGUAGCCGUAGCGAAAGCGAGUCUGAAUAGGGCGAUUCAGUCGCGUGUCCUAGACCCGAAGCGAAGUGAUCUAUCCAUGGCCAGGUUGAAGCGACGGUAAGACGUCGUGGAGGACCGAACCCACUUAGGUUGAAAACUGAGGGGAUGAGCUGUGGAUAGGGGUGAAAGGCCAAUCAAACUUCGUGAUAGCUGGUUCUCUCCGAAAUGCAUUUAGGUGCAGCGUUGCGUGUUUCUUGCCGGAGGUAGAGCUACUGGAUGGCCGAUGGGCCCUACAAGGUUACUGACGUCAGCCAAACUCCGAAUGCCGGUAAGUGAGAGCGCAGCAGUGAGACUGUGGGGGAUAAGCUUCAUAGUCGAGAGGGAAACAACCCAGACCACCAACUAAGGUCCCUAAGCGCGUGCUAAGUGGGAAAGGAUGUGGAGUUGCUUUGACAACCAGGAGGUUGGCUUAGAAGCAGCCACCCUUGAAAGAGUGCGUAAUAGCUCACUGGUCAAGUGAUUCCGCGCCGACAAUGUAACGGGGCUCAAGCACGCCACCGAAGUUGUGGCAUUGACAUUUUUGGUAGGCCUUCGUGGUCCAGCCGUGUUGAUGGGUAGGAGAGCGUCGUGUGGCGAGUGAAGCGGCGGGGUGACCCAGCCGUGGACGCUACACGAGUGAGAAUGCAGGCAUGAGUAGCGAAAGACGUGUGAGAAACACGUCCUCCGAAAGACCAAGGGUUCCAGGGUCAAGCUAAUCUUCCCUGGGUAAGUCGGGACCUAAGGCGAGGCCGACAGGCGUAGUCGAUGGACAACGGGUUGAUAUUCCCGUACCGGCGAAGAACCGCCCAAGCUAAUCCAGUGGUGCUAAGAGUCCUAGCUCGGAAUGUUGUUGAUCCCUUCGGGGUGAGACGCGUCCGUGUGAACGCUCGACCCCAUGCUGGUGCGGCUAGCGUAUUAACAGGUGUGACGCAGGAAGGUAGCCCAAGCCAGGCGAUGGUAGUCCUGGUGCAAGUGCGUAGGCCGAGUGAUAGGCAAAUCCGUCACUCAUACAGGCUGAGACACGAUGCGGAUAAAAAGUGGGUGAUCCUAUGCUGCCGAGAAAAGCAUCGACGCGAGGUUCUAGCCGCCCGUACCCCAAACCGACUCAGGUGGUCAGGUAGAGAAUACCAAGGAGAUCGAGAGAAUCGUGGUUAAGGAACUCGGCAAAAUGCCCCCGUAACUUCGGGAGAAGGGGGGCCAUCCACUUAUUAGGACUUGCUCCGAAAGGGUGUGGUGGCCGCAGAGACUAGUGGGUAGCGACUGUUUACUAAAAACACAGGUCCGUGCCAAGUCGCAAGACGAUGUAUACGGACUGACGCCUGCCCGGUGCUGGAAGGUUAAGAGGACCGGUUAGCCGCAAGGCGAAGCUGAGAAUUUAAGCCCCAGUAAACGGCGGUGGUAACUAUAACCAUCCUAAGGUAGCGAAAUUCCUUGUCGGGUAAGUUCCGACCUGCACGAAUGGCGUAACGACUUCCC